rnacentral:rRNA from 1 species
GCUAGGCCGUAGGGGAUAAGCUUUAUGGCCGAGAGGGCAACAGCCCAGACCAUCAGCUAAGGUGCCUAAAUGUGAUUAAGUGGAAAGGAUGUGACGUUGCUUAGACAGUGAGGAUGUUGGCUUAGAGGCAGCCAUCAUUUAAACAGUGCGUAAUAGCUGACUCAUCGAGCGAUGUCGCGCCGAAAAUGAUUGGCGAUUAAAUCACAUACCGAAGCUAUGGAUUCGUAACCGGUUCGCCGGAUACGAGUGGUAGGAGAGCGUAAUCAACGCAGUGAAGCUGGACGGAAACGGAAAGUGGAGCGUUGAUUAGUGAGAAUGCAGACACGAGUAGCGAUAAAACAGGUGAGAAUCCUGUUCGCCGUAAACCCAAGGUUUCCUGGGCCAGGUUCGUCCUCCCAGGGUUAGCCGGGAGCUAAGAUGAGGCCGUAAGGCGUAAUCGAUGCACAUCAGGUUAAAUAUUCCUGAGCCGGUCAAGAAUUAGCGUUGGAAUGACGCAUUGAGAAAAGUGACUGAGCUAUUGAAUGCUGAGCCUAGGCUUCGGCCGAAGCGUAUCACCAGACGAGGUGCCUAGAAAAGAAUCAACGUAUGUCAUGUCCGCCCGUACCGUAAACCGACACAGGUGGGUGAGUCGAAUAGACUAAGGCGCGCGAGAGAAACCUCUCUAAGGAACUCGGCACAUUUGCCUCGUAACUUCGGGAGAAGAGGUGCUUGAAACCGUGGCAGCAAUGUUACGGCGUAAAGCCACAGUAAAUUGCGUUUAGCGACUGUUUAACAAAAACACAGCACUCUGCCAAGUCGUUAAGACGACGUAUAGGGUGUGACAAGUGACCAAUGCGGAAAGAUUAACAGAUCUUGUUAGCCGUAAGGCGAAGCUCGGUCUUUAAGUCCCCGUGAAUGUCGGCCGUAACUAUAACGGUCCUAAGGUAGCGAAAUUCCUUGUCGGGUAAGUUCCGACCUGCACGAAUCUUGUAACGACUGAACGACUGUCUCGGAGAGGAUCUCGGCGAAACUGUAACGGCGGUGAAGAUGCCGCCUGCCCGCAGUAGGACGGAAAGACCCUAUGCACCUUUACUGUAAGCUGGUAUUGUGUUCUGAUUAACGAUGCGUAGCGUAGGUGGGAGACUUUGAAGCGGGUCCCUCGGGAUCCGUGGAGUCGCAAUGUGAAACACCACUCUUUGCUAAUUAGGAUUCUAACCCCGAUAGCUGUGAAGCCAGCCGGGGGACAGUGCCUGCGGGUCAGUUUGACUGGGGCGGUUUCCUCCCAAAUUGUAACGGAGGAGCGCGAAGCUUGGCUCAGCACGGUUGGCAACCGUGCGUCGAGCGUAUGGGUAUAAGCCAGGUUGACUGUAAGACCAACAAGUCGAGCAGAUGCGAAAGCAGGCCCAAAUGAUCCGACGGUAGAAUGUGGAAUUGCCGUCGCUCAACGGACAAAAGGUACGCUAGGGAUAACAGGCUGAUCGGAUCCAAGAGUUCACG